GUCCAUUCGGGGACAUCCAAAAAAUUGAAAUGAUAUAGACAAAAUUAGCAUGUCUUGUGCACAAGAUGGCAUGCAUAAAUAGAGAAAUAUGUUACUCUUAG